rnacentral:rRNA from 1 species
UACGGAGGGUGCAAGCGUUAAUCGGAAUUACUGGGCGUAAAGCGCACGCAGGCGGUUUGUUAAGUCAGAUGUGAAAUCCCCGGGCUCAACCUGGGAACUGCAUCUGAUACUGGCAAGCUUGAGUCUCGUAGAGGGGGGUAGAAUUCCAGGUGUAGCGGUGAAAUGCGUAGAGAUCUGGAGGAAUACCGGUGGCGAAGGCGGCCCCCUGGACGAAGACUGACGCUCAGGUGCGAAAGCGUGGGGAGCAA